rnacentral:rRNA from 1 species
AGCAGCCGCGGUAAUUCCAGCUCCAAUAGCGUAUAUUAAAGUUGUUGCAGUUAAAAGCUCGUAGUUGAAUUUCGGGAUCAGUUGGUCGGUCGUGCCUCGGUACGUACUGGUCAAAUUGAUUCCUACCUUCUGACGAACCACGAUGUCAUUAAUUUGGUGUCGCGGGAAAUCAGGACUGUUACUUUGAAAAAAUUAGAGUGUUUAAAGCAGGCUCGCGCUUGAAUACAUUAGCAUGGAAUAAUGAAAUAGGACGUUUGAUUCUAUUUUGUUGGUUUCUAGGAUCGACGUAAUGAUUAAUAGGGAUAGUUGGGGGCAUUAGUAUUCAAUUGUCAGAGGUGAAAUUCUUGGAUUUAUUGAAGACUAACUACUGCGAAAGCAUUUUGCCAAGGAUGUUUUCAUUAAUCAAGAACGAAAGUUAGGGGAUCGAAGACGAUCAGAUACCGUCGUAGUCUUAACCAUAAACUAUGCCGACUAGGGAUCGGAUGAUGUUAAUUUUUUCAAUGACUCAUUCGGCGCCUUA